CCUACGGGAGGCUGCAGUGGGGAAUAUUGGACAAUGGGGGGAACCCUGAUCCAGCCAUGCCGCGUGUGUGAAGAAGGCCCUCGGGUUGUAAAGCACUUUCAGUGAGGAAGAACGCCUGGUGGUUAAUACCCAUCAGGAAAGACAUCACUCACAGAAGAAGCACCGGCUAACUCCGUGCCAGCAGCCGCGGUAAUACGGAGGGUGCGAGCGUUAAUCGGAAUUACUGGGCGUAAAGCGCGCGUAGGUGGCUUGAUAAGCCGGUUGUGAAAGCCCCGGGCUCAACCUGGGAACGGCAUCCGGAACUGUCAAGCUAGAGUGCAGGAGAGGAAGGUAGAAUUCCCGGUGUAGCGGUGAAAUGCGUAGAGAUCGGGAGGAAUACCAGUGGCGAAGGCGGCCUUCUGGACUGACACUGACACUGAGGUGCGAAAGCGUGGGUAGCAAACAGGAUUAGAUACCCCAGUGGUC
rnacentral:rRNA from 1 species